rnacentral:tRNA from 1 species
GGCAUGAUGGCUUAGCUGGCUAAAGCAGCUGUCUUGUAAACAAAAGAUCCUGGGUUCAACUUCCAGUAGUGACU